UACGGGGGGGCAAGCGUUGUUCGGAAUUACUGGGCGUAAAGGGCUCGUAGGUGGCCAACUAAGUCAGACGUGAAAUCCCUCGGCUUAACCGGGGAACUGCGUCUGAUACUGGAUGGCUUGAAUCCGGGAGAGGGAUGCAGAAUUCCAGGUGUAGCGGUGAAAUGCGUAGAGAUGUGGAGGAACACCGAUGGCGAAGGCAGCCUCCUGGGCCAAUACUGACGCUCAUGCACGAAAGCGUGGGGAGCAAACAGG
rnacentral:rRNA from 1 species